rnacentral:rRNA from 1 species
UACGAAGGGGGGCUAGCGUUGCUCGGAAUCACUGGGCGUAAAGCGCACGUAGGCGGCUUUCUAAGUCAGGGGUGAAAUCCUGGAGCUCAACUCCAGAACUGCCUUUGAUACUGGGGAGCUCGAGUCCGGAAGAGGUGAGUGGAACUCCGAGUGUAGAGGUGAAAUUCGUAGAUAUUCGGAAGAACACCAGUGGCGAAGGCGGCUCACUGGCCCGAUACUGACGCUGAGGCACGAAAGCGUGGGGAGCAAACAGG